rnacentral:rRNA from 1 species
GACAGAGGGUGCAAACGUUGUUCGGAAUUACUGGGCGUAAAGCGUGCGCAGGCGGCUUUGCAAGACAGAUGUGAAAUCCCCGGGCUCAACCUGGGAACUGCAUUUGUGACUGCAUGGCUUGAGUGCGGCAGAGGGGGAUGGAAUUCCGCGUGUAGCAGUGAAAUGCGUAGAUAUGCGGAGGAACACCGAUGGCGAAGGCAAUCCCCUGGGCCUGCACUGACGCUCAUGCACGAAAGCGUGGGGAGCAAACAGG